UAAGGAAUAUUGGUCAAUGGGCGGAAGCCUGAACCAGCCAUCCCGCGUGCAGGAUGACUGCCCUAUGGGUUGUAAACUGCUUUUAUCUGGGAAUAAACCACUCUAUUUAUGGGGUGUUGAAGGUACCAGAAGAAUAAGCACCGGCUAACUCCGUGCCAGCAGCCGCGGUAAUACGGAGGGUGCAAGCGUUAUCCGGAAUCACUGGGUUUAAAGGGUGCGUAGGCGGCCUAAUAAGUCAGAGGUGAAAGGCUACAGCUUAACUGUGGAAUUGCCUUUGAUACUGUUAGGCUUGAAUAAGGAUGAGGUUGGCGGAAUGUGGCAUGUAGCGGUGAAAUGCAUAGAUAUGCCAUAGAACACCAAUUGCGAAGGCAGCUAACUGGGCCUUUAUUGACGCUGAGGCACGAAAGCGUGGGGAUCAAACA
rnacentral:rRNA from 1 species